AGCUAAAUAGCUAGCUCAACUACUAAAACUAAAACACACAAUUAAUUAACUUUUCUUGAUUCAACAAACAAUAAUUAAAACAUUUUUCCGCCCUAGUAUUGGCGACAGAAAAGGCGCUAGAAGCAAUAGAACCAGUACCGCAAGGGAAAGCUGAAAAAGAAAGUGAAACAAAUCGUUAAAGCCUAAAAAAGCAGAGACAUACCCUCGUACCUUUUGCAUCAUGAUUUAGCUAGAACCUUCGAGCAAAAAGAUACUUUAGUUCGUACCCCCGAAACUAAGUGAGCUACCCCGAGACAGCCUCCAUUAUAGGGCCAACCCGUCUCUGUGGCAAAAGAGUGGGAAGAUCUCCGGGUAGAGGUGACAGACCUACCGAACUUAGUGAUAGCUGGUUGCCUAAGAAAUGGAUAUAAGUUCAGCCUUGUACCCCUCCAUCCACACAAGCAUUUCUGCCUGAUGGGACAGAGAGAUUUACAAGAGUUAGUCAAAGGGGGUACAGCCCCUUUGAACCAGGACACAACCUGAUACAGGAGGUUAAGAGUCACACCCAAUAAGAUUAUAAGCUUCAGUGGGCUUAAAAGCAGCCACCUCUAAAGAAAGCGUCAAAGCUCGAGCAACCCAAAAAUCUUUUAUUCUGACAUUAAACCCAACACCCCUAUUAAAAUUAGGGCCAUUACAUGCCCUCAUGGAAGAGAUACUGCUAAAAUGAGUAAUAAGAAGAUAAAAUCUUCUCCAUGUCCAAGUGUAAAUCAGAUCGGACCAACCACUGAUAAUUAACGAACCCAACCAAGAGGGAAAAAUGACUUCAUAUUAUAAUCAGGAAAAACCCAAAUCAACCAAUCGUUAACCCUACACCGGAGAACUCCAAGGAAAGAUUAAAAGAAAGGGAAGGAACUCGGCAAUCACAAGCCUCGCCUGUUUACCAAAAACAUCGCCUCCUGCAAAAAUCCACGUAUAAGAGGUCCUACCUGCCCAGUGACUAAGUUAAACGGCCGCGGUAUUUUGACCGUGCAAAGGUAGCGCAAUCACUUGUCUUUUAAAUGAAGACCUGUAUGAAUGGUGAAACGAGGGCUUAACUGUCUCCCCUUUCCAAUCAAUGAAAUUGAUCUACCCGUGCAGAAGCGGGUAUAAAUAUACAAGACGAGAAGACCCUAUGGAGCUUAAGACACAAAGUCACCUGUGCUAAAACCCUAAGUUAAAAGAACAAAGCAAAACAACCACUGACUGAAGUCUUCGGUUGGGGCGACCGCGGGGGAAAGAAAAUCCCCCACGUGGAAAGGGAAACCCCUUAAACCACGAGGCACACCUCUAAGUCUCAGAAUUUCUGACCAAACGAUCCGGUGAAUAACCGAUCAACGAACCAAGUUACCCUAGGGAUAACAGCGCAAUCCUCUUCAAGAGUCCAUAUCGACAAGGGGGUUUACGACCUCGAUGUUGGAUCAGGACAUCCUAAUGGUGCAGCCGCUAUUAAGGGUUCGUUUGUUCAACGAUUAAAGUCCUACGUGAUCUGAGUUCAGACCGGAGCAAUCCAGGUCAGUUUCUAUCUGUAAAGUCACUUCUCCUAGUACGAAAGGACCGGAGACAUAAGGCCUCUGCCACCAGCAAGCCUUACUUCUACUUAAUGAAGACAACUCAAUUAAAUAAAGAAGGACAUAAAGUUCUUAAAGAAACCUAAC
rnacentral:rRNA from 1 species